AUUGAACGCUGGCGGCAGGCCUAACACAUGCAAGUCGAACGAGUGGCGGACGGGUGAGUAAUGUCUGGGAAACUGCCCGAUGGAGGGGGAUAACUACUGGAAACGGUAGCUAAUACCGCAUACCAUCGGAUGUGCCCAGAUGGGAUUAGCUAGUAGGUGGGGUAACGGCUCACCUAGGAGACGAUCCCUAGCUGGUCUGAGAGGAUGACCCGCCAACCUUGAACUGAGACACGGUGCAAACUCCUACGGGAGUCAGCAGUGGGUAAUAUUGCACAAUGGGCCCAAGCCUGAUCCAGCCAUGCCGCGUGGAUGAAGAAGGCCUUCGGGUGGUAAAGUACUUUCAGCGAGGAGGCGUUACUCGCAGAAGAAGCACCGGCUAACGCCGUGCCAGCCGCCGCGGUAUUUC
rnacentral:rRNA from 1 species